GGAUGUGAGGGUGAUCUGGCUGUUACAUGUCACCCCAUUGGUUUCCAAAAACUAAGGUUGAUUUGGAAGAUCUGGCUGGCUAGGCAGGUGUUUCCUUCACCUUUCCAUGUGGAUCCCUCCCGAAGCUGAAGCUAACGGAGGACCAUCUUUCAGUCUAGGGUGGCUGUGCUCCCCUGUUAGAACGUCCACACACGCUCUUGCAGUCCAUUUGUAGAAGAACGUAGGGUAGUCAAGCUUCCAAGACUCCAUCCACAUCCAAAUGAAGUGCUGCAUGUGGCAGUCUGCUUUU
rnacentral:snRNA from 1 species